GCGUCGAUGGUGCAAUGGUUAGCAUACGCUUCCGGAAGAGUGAGAUCUGGUUUCGAAUCCCAGCUGACGCA